rnacentral:rRNA from 1 species
UGCCUAGGAAAUUGCCCUGAUGUGGGGGAUAACCAUUGGAAACGAUGGCUAAUACCGCAUGAUGCCUACGGGCCAAAGAGGGGGACCUUCGGGCCUCUCGCGUCAGGAUAUGCCUAGGUGGGAUUAGCUAGUUGGUGAGGUAAGGGCUCACCAAGGCGACGAUCCCUAGCUGGUCUGAGAGGAUGAUCAGCCACACUGGAACUGAGACACGGUCCAGACUCCUACGGGAGGCAGCAGUGGGGAAUAUUGCACAAUGGGCGCAAGCCUGAUGCAGCCAUGCCGCGUGUGUGAAGAAGGCCUUCGGGUUGUAAAGCACUUUCAGUCGUGAGGAAGGUAGUGUAGUUAAUAGCUGCAUUAUUUGACGUUAGCGACAGAAGAAGCACCGGCUAACUCCGUGCCAGCAGCCGCGGUAAUACGGAGGGUGCGAGCGUUAAUCGGAAUUACUGGGCGUAAAGCGCAUGCAGGUGGUUUGUUAAGUCAGAUGUGAAAGCCCGGGGCUCAACCUCGGAAUUGCAUUUGAAACUGGCAGACUAGAGUACUGUAGAGGGGGGUAGAAUUUCAGGUGUAGCGGUGAAAUGCGUAGAGAUCUGAAGGAAUACCGGUGGCGAAGGCGGCCCCCUGGACAGAUACUGACACUCAGAUGCGAAAGCGUGGGGAGCAAACAGGAUUAGAUACCCUGGUAGUCCACGCCGUAAACGAUGUCUACUUGGAGGUUGUGGCCUUGAGCCGUGGCUUUCGGAGCUAACGCGUUAAGUAGACCGCCUGGGGAGUACGGUCGCAAGAUUAAAACUCAAAUGAAUUGACGGGGGCCCGCACAAGCGGUGGAGCAUGUGGUUUAAUUCGAUGCAACGCGAAGAACCUUACCUACUCUUGACAUCCAGAGAACUUUCCAGAGAUGGAUUGGUGCCUUCGGGAACUCUGAGACAGGUGCUGCAUGGCUGUCGUCAGCUCGUGUUGUGAAAUGUUGGGUUAAGUCCCGCAACGAGCGCAACCCUUAUCCUUGUUUGCCAGCGAGUAAUGUCGGGAACUCCAGGGAGACUGCCGGUGAUAAACCGGAGGAAGGUGGGGACGACGUCAAGUCAUCAUGGCCCUUACGAGUAGGGCUACACACGUGCUACAAUGGCGCAUACAGAGGGCGGCCAACUUGCGAAAGUGAGCGAAUCCCAAAAAGUGCGUCGUAGUCCGGAUUGGAGUCUGCAACUCGACUCCAUGAAGUCGGAAUCGCUAGUAAUCGUGGAUCAGAAUGCCACGGUGAAUACGUUCCCGGGCCUUGUACACACCGCCCGUCACACCAUGGGAGUGGGCUGCAAAAGAAGUAGGUAGUU